rnacentral:rRNA from 1 species
GCCAAGGCGAGCUUACCCCAGACAGGAUGAACCCGAGCGAAAGCGAGGGGGAGGGCCGAACUAGUGAUUUGUGCAAUAAUCUUGGAUGAUUUGGGGUAAGAAGUGAAAAGCUAAUCGAGCUUGGUAAUAGCUGGUUCUCUCCGAAACAGUUUUCGGACUGGCGCCACGCAAAAACGUUAUGGGGGUAGAGCUACUGGUUAAUUUGUAAUGGGCGAAAGCUCGGCAAAUCAGUCAAACUCCGAAUACCGUAUUGGAGGUGUGGUAGUUAGACUGUGGGGGCAAAGCUCCAUAGUCGCGAGGGGAAUAGCCCAGCUCGCCGUCUAAGAUCCCCAAAUUCUUGCUCAGUGUUAAAGGUAGUCAUUAACCGCAGACAGGCAGGAGGUUGGCUUAGAGGUAGCCAUCCUUUAAAGUGUGUGUAACAACUCACUGCUCGAUGGUUCGUGGCGCCGAAAAUGUACCGGGGCUUAAGCAAGAUACCGACGACGCGGAUUUACCGGCUUUAUUGCCGGUAAGUGGUAGGAGAGCAUUCCAAUCUGCUGUGAAGAUUCACCCGUGAGGGGGAUUGGAGCGUUUGGAAGAGAGAAUGUUGGCAUGAGUAACCAUCAAAGUCGAUGAGAAAUCGACUCCCCGCAAAUCCAAGGUUUCCGUGGCAAUGGCAAUCAACCACGGGUUAGGCGAUCCUAAGGCAAUGGCGAAAACCGUAGCUGAUGGGUAGCCGGUUAAUAUUCCGGCCCGCCUUUUAUAUUCGAUGGAGGGACGGAGGACAUAAGUCGGAGCGCCUUAAUGGUUUGGCGUCGAGGACAUUAAGCGGUGAUUUCCAGGCAAAUCCGGAAAUCUGCCUUUGAUGGCGAUCGCGCGUGUUCGCGUAAGGCUAAGUUUUUACUUGGCUAAUUUCGAUGAAGAGACUCCCGAGAAAAGCUUCUAAGAUUAGUAUAAGAGGCAUCGUACCGUAAACCGACACUGGUGGGUGAGGCGAGAAGCCUCAGGGGAACGAGUGAGGCAUCCUCAAGGAACUAGGCAAAAAAGCGGCCGUAAGUUCGCAAUAAGGCCUGCCCUUCGCAAGAAGGGCCGCAGCGAAAGUAUCUCUGGCGACUGUUUACUAAAAACACAGCUCCCUGCAAACUCGUAAGAGGACAUAUAGGGGGUGAGACCUGACCGAUGCGAGAAGGUUAACGGUGGGGGUUUUUCUAUAGCAAUAUGGUAAAGCUCACUGCCCGAAGCCCUCGUCAAUGUCGGCCGUAACUAUAACGGUCCUAAGGUAGCGCAAUUCCUUGUCGGGUAAGUUCCGACGCGCACGAAAGGUGUAACGACUGGGGGACUGUCUCGGGGAGCAGCCCGGUGAAAAUACGAUGCCGGUGAAGACGCCGGCUACCUGCAGUUAGACGAAAAGACCCCGGAAGCUUUACUGCAACUUGACAUUGGGUAUAAGUUUUCCAUGCGUAGCAUAGUGGGGAGGCGUUGAAGCUUUGAUCUCGGUUGAAGCGGAGCCGUCAGUGAAAUACCCACCUUGAAAGACUUAUAUUCUAACCUUUCCGGCAAAAACGGACGGAGACAGUGUCUGGUGGGCA